AUAACUUUAUUUAAAAAUAAAAUUUAACACCGAAAUCGAAAAUUGUUCCUCACCCUAAAUCGAAAACGUUCUUCACCCCAAAAUCAAAAAUGUUCUUCACGCUGAAAUCCAAAAUCGUUCUUCACCCCGAAAUCGAGAAUUGUUCUUCACACUGAAAUCGAGAAUCGUUCUUCACCCUCAAAUUGAAAAUGUUCAAUCGUUCACACAAAUCGUUGACAAAAAUGGUUCAAUCACUGUGAGAUUCCUUUUUCAUCUUUCAUUCACUAUAUAGAGUACGUUGGGGAUUUAGGACCAAAAACUGAUCUGAGUUUCAUAUCUUCAAGUUCAUGUGAUUUUAUAUUUUGUACAAGAUUCGGAGCAAGUAGGACAGUGUUUGAAGUUGAACACACCAAAAACUGGCUACCAUCCACAAACUCCAGUACCAGUACUCUUCCUCUUGCAGAGGUCUUUUUUCUCUUCCAUUAUUCACUUCUUAAUUCACUUUUAUAAAGAUCUGAUUAUUGGUGAUUAGUUAUAAUGAAAGAUGGAUAUGCACAAGAAUCGUGCUUCUGUGAGUUCUUACUAAAUCAAUCUAUGAUUGCCUUCUUUUGAAUGCUGGCUACUCUACUAAUCUCUGUUUUAAUUUUUCAAUUUCAAUUUGAGCAUAACUCAACAAGAAAAGCUACCUCAUAGAGUGAUUUAACUAUUGUCAAGGCCAUAUCACUUAUACUGUAAACACCAAUACAGAUUUCUCAAAAGGGCAAGGGAUUAGGAAAUUUGGUCCAGCACCUAACAGAGUUUCAAUAUAUCCCUCAAUCUGAAAAUUUCCGAUCAUGUUAGAUAUCACUGACUAGAUUGGUCGAUCCAAAAGGUUUGACAAUGCCAAAGAUUUUCAACUCCAUCAGUCAUUUUGGAAUUUCCGUAAUAUAGGAGACUAGAUUUUAUAAUCAGUCACAUUUUAUUGGAAGUACAGAGUUGCCAAGGAUCGGGCUGGAUUAUAUGGUCAUAGAAGCCCUGAUACCAUGUCGUGAACCGCUAGAGCAAAUGCUUAAGCUACCAGAUGCAGACAGAUGAAUAGUUUUUGUAUAAUAAAUCUCUAACACAAACCAAGAAAAAAGUGAAACAUAAAAAGACAUCCACAUUAAUAACUGAGAAAUUAUAUCAAAAAACUACUGUGAGUUGAGGUUAGAACAAGUUAUUUCAGAUGCUUUUAUCAUCUAUAUCUUCAAUCUACGUUGAACAAGCAGAGAAAAGCAUUUCACUUCCUGGAAGAAAAAGCAUUCCAGAAACCAAUUUGAAAUAUAAAUUAUAGAAAAGUACAAACUAAUCCAAAUUUAUCCCAGUUUGAGAAAAUAAAUUCAUGUUGGAGGUUUUGCCUCCCCCUUGACCCCCUAGUUCAGCAUUGUGUACAAGUAGAACCACCGGCAAACCAAAUAAUAUAUUAUUAUACUCAUGCAAUAAACCACAAUAUAUCAAAACAUAAAUGGCUCUAACCUGAUCAAUUGCUUGGUUUGCCCCACAAUCCAGCAGCUCUGGAGGUCGGUCUGCUGUAAGUAAAAUAAGCGGCACAAAAUCUUGACUUGAUUCUACAACCUGACCAUUUUAUUACUAAAUGGUCAAAAUAAUAUUUGUAACUAUCUUGAGUCACAUAUCCCUCAAGUGAAUGAAUAUUACAAUUAAAGUUGAUGAAAGUAGAGGUCGAUGAGAAGAAACAAAGAUGUUAAUGGUAAUACAAUAACUCAACAAGAAAAGCUACCUCAUAGAGUGAUUUGAAAAUGGGAGGGAAGGUAUGUUUGCUUAUCUGAAUGAACUUUGACUAUUUAGUUUUAUUGUCAGGCUGAACAAUUUAAUAUCCUUCGAUGAGGAAAUCCCUUUGGCUAUGGGGCUAUUGGCGGUGCUCCUUUUCUUCGUUGCUUCGUCUUCGUUUCACGUUGUUCGUGCUUCUGAUGAUGUAGAUGAUGCAAUCUUUUAUGAAUCGUUCGAUGAGGAUUUUGAUAACAGAUGGAUUGUGUCUGGGAAGGAAGAAUAUAAUGGAAAAAUUUAGAUGCAGAUACAUGGAAGUGAAGAUAGCAGGACUUUCAAAGUUAUGGAUACAUCAACAUACAAAUAUAAGAAAAGGAUUUUUAUUUUAUUUUAUUUUAUGUGAAAAUUCAAGUAUAGAAAAUAAUAAUAUGGGGUCGGAUAUAUACUAAGAUGUUAAGGAUAUGAUUUAUUUUGUAAUUAGUUUUUAUCAAUAUUAUAUGAAAUCAAUCUUUCUAUAUUGAACUAUUUGACUUUAUUUAAUAGAAAAUGGUGUAAUAGUUUAAUUUUAGUUAUUUAGCUUUGUCAUGGUUCAAAAUGUAAUGAAAAAUAUUUUA